AUGGCCUCCUUCUGGUUCCGUUCGUCGUGGACGGCGAACACGCAUCAAGUUUCCAUGCCUUCUCCAGACCUGCUGAUGGCGAGUUUCUCCCCAGCCGAAGGAACGGAUCGAGGCCAUGGGAACAGCGAGCGUCCUCGGGGCGCAUCACCUAGCCACCUCCGCCACCAGCUCGCCCGCCUGCUGGCCCCCACUCCCCCGGCAAAAUCCCCUCGCCAAGCAGGACCAAGCCCCACCCAGAGUGAAAUCAAGGGAUUUGAUCCCUAUGUGAUAGGCAAAAAGGAGAGGAAUAGUAGCAGGAAAGAGAAGGGAUUUCUGUUCCAGUAG
rnacentral:rRNA from 1 species